CUUAUACUCCCUCCGUCCAGAAUCACUUGUCGUGGAAAUAGAUGUAUCUAGAUGAAUUUAAUUCUAGAUACAUCCAUUUUUAUCCAUUUCCGCGACAAACAAAUCGGGACGGAGUUAGUAUUUU
rfam:Triticum aestivum genome assembly, contig: Triticum_aestivum_CS42_TGACv1_scaffold_435770_5DL